rnacentral:rRNA from 1 species
CUUGACUGUAGCCUGGAAUUGGGUUCGGGCUUUUCUUGCGCAGCCUAGGUGGGAGGCUACGAAGAUUUCCUUCCGGGGAAGUUGGAGCCAACAGUGAGAGACCACUCUGGAAAGGCUAGAAUCCUCAUGGUGAUCCUUGAAUCGGGACACUUGACAGUUUCAGGCGGGCAGUUUCUCUGGGGCGGAGACCCCAUAAAAGGUAACUGAGGCGCGCAAAGGUCCCCUCAGUCUGGACGGAAAUCAGACAUUGAGUGUAAAGGCAAAAGGGGGCUUGACUGCAAGACCCACAAGUCGAGCAGGAGCGAAAGCUGGCCUUAGUGAUCCGACGGUUCCGUGUGGAAGGGCCGUCGCUCAACGAAUAAAAGUUA